UUUUAUUUUUUUGCUGACAGGUAUGAUUGCCGAAAUCGCGCCCAUGACAUUCCGUAGUUUUUGUAGUUCUGUUUGGAGUUGUUAGUGAUCUGUAGUGUUUUUUUUUUUUUUGAAUUACGUUGCAAAUUCAUCCUGCCUACUUGGAGAGAUCAAUCGUGUAAGUCAAGCUUGCAGUCUUAGAUCUUGGGCGUGAAAAAGACUAAGAUGGGUUUUCGAUUGCCUUUUUCUGAAUCUUCUAGUUGUGAAAGAGAACUUGCUGAAAAUCGUUGUGAAAGGGGACUUGCUUACUUCUGUUUUUGAAUUUUUUGAAAGAGGUAGAUUUUCAAAGGAUUUGUGGGGCUUCCAUCAUCAGUCCUAGAAAUGGUGCAGAAGAAGAGAUUUCAGGCCUGUAAAAUUUGAUCGGUGGGCCAGUGGCCUGUUUAUUGGCUAGGGUGCUAUCUUGAAGGCUAAGAAGUGUGCUUGAGGCAUCAUUUCUAAUGUUCAAGGGGCAUUUCUCCAUGCCAGACAGAUUGUCCGCGAUUCUCUUAUUGCUCGUGAGUGCUUUGAUUCGAGACAUAGGGAGGGUAAAACAGGUCUUAUUUGUAAACUAAAUAUCGAAAAGGCUUAUGACCAUGUACCUUAAAAAAAGGCUUAUGACCAUGUGAGCUGGAAGUUUCUGCGGUACAUGUUACACAGAAUGCGUUUGAGGUGAGAUGGAGACAGUAGAUGGCUGAAUGCGUCUCCUUGACACACUAUUUGAUUCUCAUUAAUGGGUCCCUUUAGCCAAGGGGACUUGUUGAAGCCUUUAGCAGGAUGGCGGACAAGGCAGUCAAGGAAGAGUGAGCUGGCAGGCCAGUAAUUUGAGAAGGUUUUUUAGAUUCUCUGAGGCAGCUUCAGGUCAGAAGAUCAACAUGUAAAUUUGAGCUUCUGGGAAUUCAGUUAGAAGAAGAUGGGCUGCAGGACUAGGCAUCCAUUCUGGUUUGUACGGUGGGUGGUUUUCUGUCUUCAUCCCUUGGUCCCUUCAUGUAUUGGUGAACCUGCAAGAGCCUCUGAAAUAAUGUAAUUUAAAGAAUUGAAAGGACUUUAUUGGCAUGGAAAAGCAAGUAACUCUCUGUUGGAGGGAGUAUUAUGUUUAUUAAAGUCGCUUUAUCUAAUGCGCCGGUCUACUUGGUCUCUUUUCAAAUGCCCAGCUAAUGUCAUUGAGUUUAUCAAGAAGUUGCAAAAGGACUUACUUUGGAAAGGUAUGGAGGAAAAGAAAGAGUUCCACCUGGUUGGUUCAGAAACAGUUUGUUGUCCAGAGGAAUAGGGCCAUAUCCACAUCAUGGCUCAAAAGCAUUAUGGAUCUUUGAACCAUGAAACCAGCUUUAUUGGGAAAUUUUUGUGGAGAUUUGUACCAUGGAGAAUAACUUUGGAAGAAAGUCAUUUUCUACAAGCAUGGUACUCAAGAGAGAGGUUGGAUUGCUUGUGAGUCAUCUUUGUAAAGAACAUCAAGUGUCUGAAAGGCUAUAGCUAGUGGUAUAUCUGAUUCUUUCCGCAGGUCUGCAGUAUGAGGUAGGUGAUGGUUGUAGUAUCAAAGUUUGGGCUGAUCCAUGGUGCAGCAAGUGGACUUUUCUUUGUGAUUUCCCUGGGUUGUACACCAUCUCGGUGAACAAGGAAGAAACCAGUUCAAAAGUAUUUCAUUAGAAGAAGUAUCUUGGUUGUUUGUUCCCCUAUUUGUAGAAGAAAUCUCACAGAUGAAGAGGCAGGGGAAUUUGCUCAUUUGCAAGUCUGCAUUGGUUUGACGGCCCUCUCCUCUGAGCUUCAUGACAACUGGGGUUGGGGCUUGGAUCCUCACCUGUAUUUACACAUCAGAUCUUCUAUCGUUCCCUUGGUUGUGGCUCAAUGAGCAGGUUGAAUCAGAGUUCAGUGUUCGUCGGGUGGUUGCAUUUUCUUGGCUAGUGGCAAAUGACAAAUUUCUCACCAUUGGCCGCCUCAAAAAUAGGAACAUGAUAAUGAAUGGAUGCCCUAUGUGCCUUAAGGAUACAGAGUCGGCUUCUCAUCUUUUCAUCCAUUAUGAGUUUGCCUUGGUUAUUUGGAGGGAAUAGUCUUCCUAUGUUUUAUAUGCUUUGGACCAAGCCAACCUCUAUUGCUCAGUUUGUACAUGCCUGUGUCAGGAUCUGCGAGGGAGAGAAAAGGAACAAUUUGGCUCCUUUCCAUGCUUGUGGCCUUAUGGUCUAUUUGGGAGGAUGGAAAAAUGGGACUUCCAAUGAUAAGUCUUGCCCUCUAGAGGCGGUUUUCAGAAAGAUCAAAGGGCAGAAUUCUGUUUUGGGCUUUGGAAACUCCUCUCUUUAAGGGGUAUAAACAAAGGAGCUGUUGGAUGCUGAGGGUGUUUUCUUGUAGUUGUCUCUCUUUGAGCAGUGGGAUCUCAUCUCUUUUCUGCUUUUGCUCUUAAUAGUAUUAUUUUGUGUUACCUCUCAAUAAAUAAAUAAGGAAAGAAAGAAAAAAGAAAAGAAAAGAGUUCAGUAAGAAGCUUUGUGAUUUGGUUUUUAUGAAGGGUAAGUCUAUUCAUAGAGGACCCUAUGUAUAUUUCUCACUGGUAUAGUGAAUCACAGCAGGCAAUUAUUUUACUAUUGACUCUUUACUAGAGGAAAUAGUGUUUGCACAUUUCUUUUUGUAACCAGCUUGAUACUGUAGAUUAUUCUUGCGUGAAAUAUUGCACGAAACAAUAUGUGAUGAUUGUUUGCGUAAAAUA